CUACGGGGCGCUCCAGUGAGGAAUAUUGCACAAUGGUGUCACCUCUUAUGCAGCCACUCCGCGUGGAGGAUGACGCAUUUCGGUGUGUAAACUCCUUUUAUAUGUCAAGAAAAUGACGGUAGCAUAUGAAUAAGCACCGGCUAACUCCGUGCCAGCAGCCGCGGUAAUACGGAGGGUGCAAGCGUUACUCGGAAUCACUGGGCGUAAAGGACGCGUAGGCGGGAUAUCAAGUCAGGUGUGAAAUCCUACAGCUUAACUGUAGAACUGCACUUGAAACUGGUAACCUAGAGUAUGGGAGGGGGAGAUGGAAUUAGUGGUGUAGGGGUAAAAUCCGUAGAUAUCACUAGGAAUACCUAAAGCGAAGGCGAUCUCCUGGAACAUAACUGACGCUAAGGCGUGAAAGCGUGGGGAGCAAACAGGAUUAGAUACCCGAGUAGUC
rnacentral:rRNA from 1 species